AAUAUCAUCCGGUCUUCAGACUCUUCACCCACCAUUUGAAUUCAAAAUUUGAAAACCCACCACAUUCCCAAACCACCCUUCUCUUUUCUUUUUUUUCUUCUUCUUUUUCUGUCCUCUGAUGCAAGGGGAAUAGAGAGAGAGAUAGACAGGUGUGGGUGAAUUGUGACCAUCCUCUUCGGUGCCUUUUGUAAGCAAUGAUCUUGCAAAAAAGAAGUUAAACUAGUUCUGUAUGGAAGGGUGGAGUGAGAGGAAAAAGUGGGAACUUGAUUUGUAAGCAUUGAAGAAGUGGUGUCUCGUCUCGAAAUGCUGGUGUGUGGGGGGUGGUGCUCCUUAAUGGUUGAGUUACUAAUGGUUUGGUCUCUGGGGGACCUCUGCAACUUCAAAAAAAAGUAGGUUCUAAUUUUGAUGUAGCUGCAAUCCAAAGCCUUUUAUCUAAUGAUUCCUGGAAACUUCAAUCUUUUUAUAACUUGGCUUCGGUGGACAGAAAUAGGAGCAUGGUUGCCGUGAUGGGAUCUGGGAAGUUGUUCACAAGGACAACUAGAGCAUUGCUUUUAGGCUGGCAAUGUGGCAUCGCCAAACUCUGGGGAAUCCACCCAAAAAGGUGUUUGAAACGGGCCCAUUUUGCCCUUUGCCUUCUCUGACUGUACUCUGGGCAGCGCACCAGCUGAAAUUUCUUUAACAAUCAACGCCCUUUCCCACCGA